UACGUAGGUGGCAAGCGUUGUCCGGAAUUAUCGGGCGUAAAGCGCGCGCAGGUGGUUUCUUAAGUCUGAUGUGAAAGCCCACGGCUCAACCGUGGAGGGUCAUUGGAAACUGGGGAACUUGAGUGCAGAAGAGGAAAGUGGAAUUCCAAGUGUAGCGGUGAAAUGCGUAGAGAUUUGGAGGAACACCAGUGGCGAAGGCGACUUUCUGGUCUGUAACUGACACUGAGGCGCGAAAGCGUGGGGAGCAAACAGG
rnacentral:rRNA from 1 species